GGGGCUGCAUUGGUUUCGACGUGGGUUCGGAAUCGCAGCGGGGCAUGUCGAGCUGAAUGCGCUCGUAAAACAGAUUCAAACAAACUAACUGCAAACGACGAACGUUUCGCACUCGCUGCUUAAUAACCAGUGAGCCUUGCAACAGUUGGCCGAUGGGCUGGGCAAGGGGGCACUAGAGCAAUCUGGCGCCUCCCGGCUGCAAGGUAAUCUACAUGGGCUGGCUUCGAUCCGGGUACCUUGGGUCGGGGCGAGAAAAUAGGGUGCUGGCGGCCGGUGUAGCGUGCGACUGCGCGACACCGGUGGCGAGAUCCAAAUCAGAUCGCUAAACAUGUAGAACUGCGCGAAGAAGGCUUGCGGACGGGGGUUCGAAUCCCCCCAGCUCCACCA
rnacentral:tmRNA from 1 species